UACGUAGGGUGCAAGCGUUGUCCGGAAUUAUUGGGCGUAAAGAGCUCGUAGGCGGUCUGUCGCGUCGGCUGUGAAAACCCGAGGCUCAACCUCGGGCCUGCAGUCGAUACGGGCAGACUAGAGUGUGGUAGGGGAGACUGGGAUUCCUGGUGUAGCGGUGAAAUGCGCAGAUAUCAGGAGGAACACCGGCGGCGAAGGCGGGUCUCUGGGCCAUAACUGACGCUGAGGAGCGAAAGCGUGGGGAGCGAACAGG
rnacentral:rRNA from 1 species